rnacentral:rRNA from 1 species
GAUGAACGCUGGCGGCGUGCCUAACACAUGCAAGUCGAGCGGAUAGACGGGGCUCGCUCUUCUCUUACGUUACCGGCGGACGGGUGAGUCACACGUGGCUAACCUACCGUUAAGACUGGCGUACCUUCGCGAAACCUGAGCCCACACCGGUUAAUAUAUUGAACCUCAGGGUUCUUCAGAGCAAGACGGUUCUGCUGUGACUAAUUGAGGUUACCGCGCCGCAUUAGCUAGUUGGUACGGUAACGGCUUACCAAGGCGACGAUGCGUAGCUGAUCUGAGAGGAUGAUCGGCCACACUGGAACUGAGACACGGUCCAGACUCCUACGGGAGGCAGCAGUAGGGAAUCUUCGGCAAUGGGCGAAAGCUUGACCGAGCAAUGCCGCGUGAGUGAUGAAGGUCUUCGGAUCGUAAAGCUCUGUUAGUAGGGAAGAACAACUGUGUAAGAAUACAUGCACGUUUUGACGGUACCUAAAGAAAAAGCCCCGGCUAACUACGUG